GUUACCGCCUCUAUACCGGUAAGGGAAGGAGGUGAAAAGCAUGAACGAUAUUUUUAUGUCCGUUUUUGUUGCCGUUGUGAGUGGUGUUAUUUGUCAUUACAUCAUUAAAUGGCUGGAUGGCAACAAAUAAGUCGGUAAUCAGCCUGAUGGCGAUAUUCCUGCCAUUUUGAAAAAUUGGAAAUAGAAAACCCCCAAUGUUGCAGCAUUGGGGNNNNNNNCCCAAUGUUGCAGCAUUGGGGGUUUUCGUUUUAAAG
rnacentral:sRNA from 1 species